rnacentral:misc_RNA from 1 species
UCGUUUAGAAUCAGAAUAAAG